rnacentral:rRNA from 1 species
GACGAACGCUGGCGGCGUGCCUAAUACAUGCAAGUCGAACGCUGAAGGGGGAGCUUGCUCUUCUGGAUGAGUUGCGAACGGGUGAGUAACGCGUAGGUAACCUGCCUGGUAGCGGGGGAUAACUAUUGGAAACGAUAGCUAAUACCGCAUAACAGUAGAUGUUGCAUGACAUUUGCUUAAAAGGUGCAAUUGCACCACUACCAGAUGGACCUGCGUUGUAUUAGCUAGUUGGUGGGGUAACGGCUCACCAAGGCGACGAUACAUAGCCGACCUGAGAGGGUGAUCGGCCACACUGGGACUGAGACACGGCCCAGACUCCUACGGGAGGCAGCAGUAGGGAAUCGUCGGCAAUGGACGGAAGUCUGACCGAGCAACGCCGCGUGAGUGAAGAAGGUUUUCGGAUCGUAAAGCUCUGUUGUAAGAGAAGAACGAGUGUGAGAGUGGAAAGUUCACACUGUGACGGUAUCUUACCAGAAAGGGACGGCUAACUACGUG